UAGCCAAUCAGAAAUGAGUUUAUUCAUGAGAGUAUAGUAUUCUUUUAAAAGCUCUAUCUGUCCUAAUAAGUGGUUUUGUGUUUGGUUGAAACCUUCCAUA
rnacentral:pre_miRNA from 10 species